GACGAACGCUGGCGGCGUGCUUAACACAUGCAAGUGGAGCGACGAACCAGGCUUCGGCCUGGGGCAAAGCCGCGAACGGGUGAGUAACACGUGGGUAACCUGCCCCGAUGACUGGGACAACCCGAGGAAACUCGGGCUAAUACCGGAUGUACUUACAUCACACAAGUGAUGCAAAGCAAAGAUAGCUUCGGCCUUCGCAUCGGGAUGGGCCCGCGGCCCAUUAGCUUGUUGGUGGGGAACGGCCUACCAAGGCAACGAUGGUAGCUGGUCUGAGAGGACGAUCAGCCACACUGGGACUGAGACACGGCCCAGACUCCUACGGGAGGCAGCAGUGGGAAUCUUGCGCAAUGCGCGAAAGCGUGACGCAGCAACGCCGCGUGGGGGAAGAAGGCUUUCGGGUU
rnacentral:rRNA from 1 species